UGUUCCUGUCAACCCUCCAGGGCACCCAGCUGUUUUAACCUUUUGCUUUAUUUCCUUUGCCUCCUAAUUGUCUUUUUGUUUAUAUUAAACUUUUUAUAAUUUAUUAAGUGAAUCUUGUUUUUAACACCAGGAACCCUGACGGGGGAAACCUGUGGGAGCCACAGAGUGCACCAGCAGAACUCAUGGAAAGCAGGAAAAGGGAUAACUGGAAAGAAGGGAAAGAUCAUGGAUCAUGGAGAAGAAACUUCAUGCCAGCCUUUGAGCCUACACUGAACUCAGGAUAAACUCCAGGACAGAACUUUUCCUUUCCCCCUGGGUUGACACUCAGCCUUACACCACUGUUGAUGCACUUGCCCUCCUCUGCUGUUCCAAUCACCCAGAAAUACAAAAUGCAUCAGCCCACCUCAUCCUUCUACCUGAGCACACAAUUCCCUUCCCUCUGAUUUGCCCAUGUCCACUGUCCUUUAUUCCACUACAAUAUAUUGCCUAUUCUUACGUG